rnacentral:rRNA from 1 species
AGCUACACAUGCAGUCGAGCGGAACGAGUUAUCUGAACCUUCGGGGAGCGAUAACGGCGUCGAGCGGCGGACGGGUGAGUAAUGCCUAGGAAAUUGCCCUGAUGUGGGGGAUAACCAUUGGAAACGAUGGCUAAUACCGCAUAAUGCCUACGGGCCAAAGAGGGGGACCUUCGGGCCUCUCGCGUCAGGAUAUGCCUAGGUGGGAUUAGCUAGUUGGUGAGGUAAGGGCUCACCAAGGCGACGAUCCCUAGCUGGUCUGAGAGGAUGAUCAGCCACACUGGAACUGAGACACGGUCCAGACUCCUACGGGAGGCAGCGGUGGGGAAUAUUGCACAAUGGGCGCAAGCCUGAUGCAGCCAUGCCGCGUGUGUGAAGAAGGCCUUCGGGUUGUAAAGCACUUUCAGUCGUGAGGAAGGUAGUGUAGUUAAUAGCUGCAUUAUUUGACGUUAGCGACAGAAGAAGCACCGGCUAACUCCGUGCCAGCAGCCGCGGUAAUACGGAGGGUGCGAGCGUUAAUCGGAAUUACUGGGCGUAAAGCGCAUGCAGGUGGUUUGUUAAGUCAGAUGUGAAAGCCCGGGGCUCAACCUCGGAAUUGCAUUUGAAACUGGCAGACUAGAGUACUGUAGAGGGGGGUAGAAUUUCAGGUGUAGCGGUGAAAUGCGUAGAGAUCUGAAGGAAUACCGGUGGCGAAGGCGGCCCCCUGGACAGAUACUGACACUCAGAUGCGAAAGCGUGGGGAGCAAACAGGAUUAGAUA